CCUACGUGAGGCAGCAGUGGGGAAUAUUGCGCAAUGGGCGAAAGCCUGACGCAGCGACGCCGCGUGAGGGAUGAAGGUCUUCGGAUCGUAAACCUCUGUCAGCAGGGAAGAACGGUCACUGUGCUAAUCAGCAGUGAAUUGACGGUACCUGCAAAGGAAGCACCGGCUAACUCCGUGCCAGCAGCCGCGGUAAUACGGAGGGUGCGAGCGUUAAUCGGAAUUACUGGGCGUAAAGCGCUCGUAGGCGGUAUGUCAAGUCAAGGGUGAAAUCCCCGCGCUCAACGUGGGAACUGCCUUUGAAACGGGCAAACUGGAGUGUGUGAGAGGAUAGUGGAAUUCCAGGUGUAGGAGUGAAAUCCGUAGAUAUCUGGAGGAACAUCAGUGGCGAAGGCGACUAUCUGGCACAUAACUGACGCUGAGGAGCGAAAGCGUGGGUAGCAAACAGGAUUAGAUACCCUGGUAGUC
rnacentral:rRNA from 1 species